AGUGGCGAACGGGUGAGUAACACGUGAGUACCUGCCCCAGACUCUGGGAUAAGCACUGGAAACGGUGUCUAAUACCGGAUACGGCCGCAUGGCGAAAGAAUUUCGGUCUGGGAUGGACUCGCGGCCUAUCAGGUAGUUGGUGAGGUAACGGCCCACCAAGCCUACGACGGGUAGCCGGCCUGAGAGGGUGACCGGCCACACUGGGACUGAGACACGGCCCAGACUCCUACGGGAGGCAGCAGUGGGGAAUAUUGCACAAUGGGCGCAAGCCUGAUGCAGCAACGCCGCGUGAGGGACGACGGCCUUCGGGUUGUAAACCUCUUUUAGUAGGGAAGAAGCGAAAGUGACGGUACCUGCAGAAAAAGCACCGGCUAACUACGUGCCAGCAGCCGCGGUAAUACGUAGGGUGCAAGCGUUAUCCGGAAUUAUUGGGCGUAAAGAGCUCGUAGGCGGUUUGUCGCGUCUGCUGUGAAAACUGGAGGCUCAACCUCCAGCCUGCAGUGGGUACGGGCAGACUAGAGUGCGGUAGGGGAGAUUGGAAUUCCUGGUGUAGCGGUGGAAUGCGCAGAUAUCACGAGGAACACCGAUGGCGAAGCAGAUCUCUGGGCCGUAACUGACGCUGAGAGCGAAGCAUGGGGAGCGACAGGAUAGAUACCCUGGUAGUCAUGCGGA
rnacentral:rRNA from 1 species